CUAUGCGCCUUGCCAGCCCGCUCAGGUGUGCCAGCCGCCGCGGUAAUACGGAGGAUGCGAGCGUUAUCCGGAUUUAUUGGGUUUAAAGGGUGCGUAGGCGGAUUUUAAGUCAGCGGUAAAAUGUCCGGGCUCAACCCGGGCGGCCGUUGAAACUGGGGAUCUUGAGUGGGCGAGAAGUAUGCGGAAUGCGUGGUGUAGCGGUGAAAUGCAUAGAUAUCACGCAGAACUCCGAUUGCGAAGGCAGCAUACCGGCGCCCGACUGACGCUGAGGCACGAAAGCGUGGGGAUCGAACAGG
rnacentral:rRNA from 1 species